rnacentral:rRNA from 1 species
AACACGUGAGUAACCUGCCCUUGACUCUGGGAUAAGCCUGGGAAACUGGGUCUAAUACCGGAUACGACCGCCCACCGCAUGGUGUGGUGGUGGAAAGCUUUUGCGGUUUUGGAUGGACUCGCGGCCUAUCAGCUUGUUGGUGGGGUAAUGGCCUACCAAGGCGACGACGGGUAGCCGGCCUGAGAGGGUGACCGGCCACACUGGGACUGAGACACGGCCCAGACUCCUACGGGAGGCAGCAGUGGGGAAUAUUGCACAAUGGGCGCAAGCCUGAUGCAGCGACGCCGCGUGAGGGAUGACGGCCUUCGGGUUGUAAACCUCUUUCAGUAGGGAAGAAGCGAAAGUGACGGUACCUGCAGAAGAAGCGCCGGCUAACUACGUGCCAGCAGCCGCGGUAAUACAGAGGGUGCGAGCGUUAAUCGGAUUUACUGGGCGUAAAGCGUGCGUAGGCGGCUUUUUAAGUCGGAUGUGAAAUCCCUGAGCUUAACUUAGGAAUUGCAUUCGAUACUGGGAAGCUAGAGUAUGGGAGAGGAUGGUAGAAUUCCAGGUGUAGCGGUGAAAUGCGUAGAGAUCUGGAGG